UUGUACAACUAUCAAUGUCUCCGGCUUCAUCUCUGUCCCUCUCCUCCUCCUCCUCCGGCGUCAUCUAUCUCUAGCGUAUUUCAAUCGAUUUUGGGGCUUCGUAUUGCUGCUGUCUGAAGUCAACACGACCUUUUUAGGGCGUCAUUCGACCAUUUUGGGGAUUCAUUUCUGUGGAGGUUGGAGAUGCACGUGUAAUUCAAACUGGUUCAAUACUUGCAAACAUCUGAAGUUCAGAGUUCAAGUUCUCAGAGGUGAAUUUCCAUCUGCAAUGUAAGAAAACAUUACUCCUUGAAUGUUUCCAGCACUAGGAGAACCAUCUUCCAGAUUAAUGAACCUUCUGUACUUUCCAAGCUGUACAAGUUUAUUAUGUAAGGGAUAUGGGGGAACAUAAUUGGAUUGUUGUUCAAAGGUCACAGCCUCGGAAUUUUUAUGAAAUGCAUGUUGAAGAAUCCAAAGAUAAUGAACCAUAUCAACAAAAUGAGCCACUAAUUGGACACUGUCUAACCCAGGCUGUGAAUGCAAACGAAGAAGCCUUUCCAAUACUUAGAAGUGACAUCCUACCAGAGGUUGCAUAUAUGAAGAAGGUGCAUCAUGACACCAGCGAGGAGAGGUAUGAGGGGAAAAAAGAAAGGGAAGGGAAAACAAAUAGUACUUGCAACUUAUGAUGAUGACAGAGCUUUUAUAAUUUGAAGUGUUGAUUUGUAAUUAACACAAAUUUUGGAUCACUGCUCCUGCAAAUCCUUGUAUAUCCUUUUGGACAUUAUUUUGUCUUUUCCCUUAUAAUCACCAACUAUGAUAUCUUCUCUCGUUCUCGUCUUUUUUAUUCAAUACCUGCUUUACUUUGGGUUUGUAGGUAUUGUCUUUUCUUAAACCAUCCCUAAAAGAUAAUAAUACUGAAAUAUGAAUACUAAAUCAACCAAGGAAAUGUUGAAUUAAAGUAGAGCUAACUCAACUUAGAGAUUAACAUCUUUCCGCUUUCUUCUCUGACUUACCCUUGACAAUAUCUAACUCACACUAUUGUAAGAAUGAUAUGAAUGGUGAAAUCGUGGUGCUUUACUGGUAACUGUUCGAGAAAAUUAAGAAACCAUUUCAGUGGAUAAAAUUCUCAACUGAAAGUGCAUUCGUGAUGGCGAGGGAGAUGAUAAAAGGUAAACAUUUGGAAUACUUAAUUGAAAUGGUUUUAUUAAUUUAGUCAAUAAUCUGACAUGGAGAGGAGCCCUAGUAUCAGCUUUACUCAUUUUGUGGUUAUUAGCAUGAAAAUAUUCUAACCUCAAUCUGUUUUGAUAUUCUAACCUCAAAUCUGUUUUGAUA